rnacentral:lncRNA from 1 species
CUGAAAACCUGUUACUACUUCUACUGAGAUGUUAACCUCUGCUACUACUUUUUACUAGAAUGUUAACCCUUGCUACUACUUCUAUUGGAAUUAACUACUACUACACUAAGUUAUUGAAAACCUGUUAUUGUACCAUUUACUGAAAAAUCUCAAAAUGAUAGACUUUUCUCUUCUAAAAACAUAUUUAAUUAGUAUAAGGUUAGUUUGGUAAAUUAAAACAUGACACAUGGCAUGCAUAAAAAAGAUUGUCCUUAAUUAUUAAAACUGUCCUUAUUUAUUUAACAACACAAGUGGAUUUAUUUGUGUUUCAAAUCUUUUUAGAGGAUGUAUAUGUGAUUUGCUAUAUUUUUUACAUAAAAUUAUGACAGAUUUAGUGCACAAAUGUUAGUUUGUUCGAAAACCAGAUUUUGGACCGAAGUUUUCUUUUGAGGCACGGAUCACAUGCACCAACAAGCCCAUGGACGAGACCCUAACCCUCAUGAAAGCUAAAGAAAGACUUCUAAUUAGUUUUGAGGACUAACUAAAGAGUAAAUGACACUUUAGUACUAAUUUUAAAGGUUUAUUGCCCAUUCCAAUGAAAAUCUCUUUACCAACCCCAUUCCAAUGAAUUCUAAUAAAAGGACGUCAUUACCCUUGACCUCAUUUAACUCUAUUUCUCUGUUUCUCACUUUCUCCUCUCUUUAUCCCGAUCAAAAACUCUCUCUCU